rnacentral:rRNA from 1 species
GAUGAAUGCUGGCGGCGUGCCUAACACAUGCAAGUCGAGCGGCAGCGAGUUUUUCACUGAAUUCUGGAAGCUUCUGAGUAGUACAGAAGAUUUAUUCAAGAGUUUUGUGUAAAAUGUCGGCGAGCGGCGGACGGCUGAGUAACGCGUAGGAAUUUGCCCCAAAGUGAGGAAUAACUGCCCGAAAGGGUAGCUAAUGCCGCAUAUGGUCUUCGGAUUAAAGCCUUCGGGCGCUUUGGGAGAAGCCUGCGUUGGAUUAGGUAGUUGGUAGGGUAAUGGCCUACCAAGGAGACGAUACAUAGAUGGGCAGAGAGGAUGAUCCGCCAGACUUGAACUGAGACACGGUCCAGAAUCCUACGGGAGGCAGCAGUGAGGAAUCUACCACAAUGGGCGAAAGCCUGAUGGAGCAACGCCGCGUGAAGGAUGAAGGCCUUCGGGUUGUAAACUUCUUUUAUGAGUGAAGAAUAUGACGGUAACUCAUGAAUAAGCACCGGCUAACUACGUG